rnacentral:rRNA from 1 species
UGCGUAGGUGGUCUUGUAAGCGUGGGGUGAAAGGCAGUGGCUUAACCAUUGUUAGCCUUGCGAACUGUGAGACUUGAGUGGCAGGAGAGGAAAGUGGAAUUCCUAGUGUAGCGGUGAAAUGCGUAGAUAUUAGGAGGAACACCAGUGGCGAAGGCGACUUUCUGGACUGUAACUGACACUGAGGCACGAAAGCGUGGGGAGCAAACA